rnacentral:rRNA from 1 species
GACGAACGCUGGCGGCGUGCCUAAUACAUGCAAGUAGAACGCUGAAGGAGGAGCUUGCUUCUCUGGAUGAGUUGCGAACGGGUGAGUAACGCGUAGGUAACCUGCCUGGUAGCGGGGGAUAACUAUUGGAAACGAUAGCUAAUACCGCAUAAUAGCAGUUGUUGCAUGACAACUGUUUGAAAGGUGCAAAUGCAUCACUACCAGAUGGACCUGCGUUGUAUUAGCUAGUUGGUGGGGUAAAGGCUCACCAAGGCGACGAUACAUAGCCGACCUGAGAGGGGGACCGGGCACAUCGGGACUGGGAUGAGGCCAAGACUCAUACGGGAGGGAGCAGUGGGGAAGAUAGCAUAAUGGGCUGAAGCAUGAUGGAGCAGCGCCGCGGGCGGGAGGAAGGGAGUCGGGUUGUAAACAGCGUUAGACUGUGACGAAGAGGGAGUGACGGUAAUGGGUAAAGAAGCACCGGCUAACUACGUG